GUCCACGCCCUAAACGAUGUCAACUGGUUGUUGGGUCUUAACUGACUCAGUAACGAAGCUAACGCGUGAAGUUGACCGCCUGGGAGUACGGCCGCAAGGUUGAAACUCAAAGGAAUUGACGGGACCCGCACAAGCGGUGGAUGAUGUGGUUUAAUUCGAUGCAACGCGAAACCUUACCACCUUUGACAUGUACGGAAGGAUCCAGAGAUGGAUUUUGUGCUCGAAAGAGAACCGUAACACAGGUGCUGCAUGGCUGUCGU
rnacentral:rRNA from 1 species